AUUGAACGCUGGCGGCAUGCCUUACACAUGCAAGUCGAACGGCAGCACGGGAGCAAUCCUGGUGGCGAGUGGCGAACGGGUGAGUAAUAUAUCGGAACGUGCCCGGUCGUGGGGAUAACGUAGCGAAAGCUACGCUAAUACCGCAUACGAUCUACGGAUGAAAGCGGGGGAUCGCAAGACCUCGCGCGAUUGGAGCGGCCGAUAUCAGAUUAGGUAGUUGGUGAGGUAAAGGCUCACCAAGCCGACGAUCUGUAGCUGGUCUGAGAGGACGACCAGCCACACUGGGACUGAGACACGGCCCAGACUCCUACGGGAGGCAGCAGUGGGGAAUAUUGGACAAUGGCGAAGACCUGAUCCAGCAAUAGCCGCGUGAGUGAUG
rnacentral:rRNA from 1 species